GACCAAUUUGGGAAUGAAAAGAGUUGCCCAUAAAAUUAGCAUUCGGCCAGAAAAAGAAUAUGCGGUUUGAGGAGCCCAAAAAGAACACAAGAAGAAUCACAACAGGUUUGGUACAAACUGGUCUUACUGAAACAAGAUCCAAAUUUUAUCUUCGUCACGAACCAACUAUGGCGAUGGAAACUCCGGUAUCAUAGCUUGGGUAGAUGAGAAAUCACUGGUUGUUGGUCCAGCUGCAUCGUAUGAUGACUCGGAUCCUUGCAUUAUUAGUGAUCAUCUAGCAGUCAGCGCAAUAAACACCGAACAGGAGAGUUUAUCAGCAGAUGAUGUAAACCCAAUACGACAUUUACAAAUUCUAACAAACCAGGACUACAUGGAGAAGAUAAUGGAAAUCAAUGAUAAACUUGAUAUGGUGAAGGAUAUAGUGAGACCAGGUUGUUCUUAUGAGGUAUUGAACACCGCCUUACGUUGUAUGUCAUCGCUUGCCACAACACUCUCCACGACGUCACAAAAAGUUCGAGCAUCACUUUGAACGACAUCCUCCCUGAUCAUGACGACGCAUUUAGUGUGUUUUGACUGUCACUGUGUAAUAUUUAGAAACGUAAUUUGGGUUUGUUGUUGUUGUUGUACACUUGUACCAUGUGUAACUUGAAAGUUUUGUUGUUUAGUGGGCAAUAUAGUGUGUUGACUUGACAUUUACGGAUUA